AUUGAACGCUGGCGGCAGGCCUAACACAUGCAAGUCGAGCGAGUGGCGGACGGGUGAGUAAUGUAUGGGGAACUGCCUGAUGGAGGGGGAUAACUACUGGAAACGGUAGCUAAUACCGCAUACUAUCGGAUGAACCCAUAUGGGAUUAGCUAGUGGGUGGGGUAAAGGCUCACCUAGGCGACGAUCCCUAGCUGGUCUGAGAGGAUGACCAGCCACACUGGAACUGAGACACGGCCCAGACUCCUACGGGAGGCAGCAGUGGGGAAUAUUGCACAAUGGGCGCAAGCCUGAUGCAGCCAUGCCGCGUGUAUGAAGAAGGCCUUAGGGUUGUAAAGUACUUUCAGCGGGGAGGCGUUACCCGCAGAAGAAGCACCGGCUAACUCCGUGCCAGCCGCCGCGGUAAUUC
rnacentral:rRNA from 1 species